rnacentral:lncRNA from 1 species
AGACGACUAGAGGCGGGAAAGGAAGGGGGAAAAAAGGCACGUUAGGGUAAUGGCGUGUGCAAACGCCUGUUUAGUUCGUUGUGGAAAAAAUUUCGCAACACUGUAGCACUUUCGUUUGUUUGUGGUAAUUAUUGUCCAACCAUGGACUAACUAGGCUCAAAAGAUUCGUCUCAUAAAUUUCGAUCAAACUUUGUAAUUAGUUUUUAUUUUCGUCUAUAUUUAAUAUUCCAUGCAUGCGUUUAAAGAUUCGAUGUGACGGAAAAUCUUGAAAAAUUUUGAGGGUUUUGGAGUGCAAGUAAACAAGGCCUAACAGAAACCAAGAAGCAUCUUGCCAUCCAUCAUCCAUGCACUUUGUAGCCACGGGAAAAAAAGGUUGGUCCAGCAAAGUGAAGUGAUUCUUACAUUUGAGGGGAAAAAAAAAGUAAUUCGUGGCCAAAAAGCAUCUAGCCAACAUUCGCAUAAAAAAAAAACCAACGGUGAUGGUGAGUCGGUGACGUGCCGCAUCAUUGGCCGCUAGGGCACGGCACGGCAGUACUGCCAGGCCGAGGCCGUCGGCCGUCCGUCCAAUGGCGGCAAGCCACCAACGGCGACGGGCCGAAGGUGAUGAUGCUCAUGAGUUGAAACUUCGCUGCCUCCUGGCGCAUCUCAGUGCAGAUAGGUACUUUCUGGAAAGGGAAGAUUGCC